CGGCACCAUCACUCUUCUACAAACAAGGAUUAAGAGUCGCUUGAAUUUCCCUCAUGUGUACUGAUGUUCCCUCCUAAUAUACAGCACCUUUUUGCUGUUUGGAGAUUUUGCCAGGGUGAAAGUUUGGAUACUGUUGGUGAAGGGCUUGAAAUUCUGAAAAACAUGGUAGCUGCUGAUAUAAAUUCUGUUGCUUUUUUCUAGUUGAACGAUGGUAGGAAUCACAUGAAUUUUACUCUUGUGGUGCUUCCCUGCUCCGUUUGCUAUCUUGGUAUAUUCCAAGAUGCAUAAUCUGAGAUGAUUUCUGUAGAUUUUAUUUCAUGUGUUUCAUUUGAUGGUCAUUAUAAUUACCAAACUUGCUAGAUGCAGAUUAAUAUUGUGAAGUAUAUAUAGUCCAUUAAAAUCCUAAUAUUUUCUCGAACCGAACCAGUUCGAAAAUGAUUGCUAUUCAUUGAAUCUUUGUGCUUGUGAUUUGACAUAAUUUAAUAUUGAUGCCUUUUUCUUGCUCCACUUUGUUUCUUGAUUUAGCUGAACUAGUACAUUUGUUGUUUCUUAAGGAAUAAUCUUAAUUGUCCCUGGUUUCUGUAUCAUGGAUUAUUUAGAUUACCAUGAUAAGUAUCUGUACUUAUGUAGGAUCAGAAUGCACAUACAUUUGUUUUUGGUUCCUUAUUUAGUUUGGUAUAUGUACUUGAGCAUCUCUGUGAGUAUAGGUGCAUGCACUGCUGGUAUGAUCCAAUCGUUGCAUGGUUCCGUUUGAUCCAAUCGUCGCGCGCUUCCGUGAUCAUGCUUGAACUGUUGUGUACAAUAUCGUCGCCUUAUUAUUUUGCAGUCCUUUCGAAAUUUCUGUAUUUGCUUUGCUUAUCAUGCUCUGUUUAUUUUGUCCGAGGAUAACGAGGAGGACUGAGCGACCGUAGUGGCCCCUUCUUCUUCGACUCCAUGUGUUUUAUGGGGAAGUCUCUAGCUCCUCUCUAUGAUUUCCUAGUCUUGUGUAGUAUUUAUAGGCCUCAAAUAUACGUGAAGUUUGCUUUCUUGGAUAUAGUGGAUUCUGUCAAAUGAAGCUUAAAUUUAUGGCAGAUUUUCUUGACCUGUGCAUAUUUGGAUGCCAAAUGAGUUGGUCUUGUGCGACUUGCUCACUGUAUUUGCUGCUAUGUUAUCAAUGCGGAUGUUUGAGAA